rnacentral:rRNA from 1 species
GACGGACGCUGGCGGCGUGCUUAACACAUGCAAGUCGAACGGAAAGGCCCCUUUGGGGGUACUCGAGUGGCGAACGGGUGAGUAACACGUGUGUAACCUGCCCUUGACUUCGGGAUAACUUCAGGAAACUGGGGCUAAUACCGGAUAGGAAUCCUUGCUGCAUGGUGGGGGUUGGAAAGCUUCGGCGGUUUUGGAUGGACUCGCGGCUUAUCAGCUUGUUGGUGGGGUAGUGGCUUACCAAGGCUUUGACGGGUAGCCGGCCUGAGAGGGCGACCGGCCACAUUGGGACUGAGAUACGGCCCAGACUCCUACGGGAGGCAGCAGUGGGGAAUAUUGCACAAUGGGCGGAAGCCUGAUGCAGCAACGCCGCGUGCGGGAUGACGGCCUUCGGGUUGUAAACCGCUUUCAGCAGGGGCGAAGCUUGUGGUGACGGUACCUGCAGAAGAAGCACCGGCUAACUACGUG